AACGCUAGCUACAGGCUUAACACAUGCAAGUCGAGGGGCAGCAUGAACUUAGCUUGCUAAGUUUGAUGGCGACCGGCGCACGGGUGAGUAACACGUAUCCAACCUACCAUUCACACGGGGAUAGCCUUUCGAAAGAAAGAUUAAUACCCGAUAGUAUAGCGAUAAGGCAUCUUAUUGCUAUUAAAGAAUUUCGGUGUUUGAUGGGGAUGCGUUCCAUUAGAUUGUUGGUGAGGUAACGGCUCACCAAGUCUUCGAUGGAUAGGGGUUCUGAGAGGAGGGUCCCCCACAUUGGAACUGAGACACGGUCCAAACUCCUACGGGAGGCAGCAGUGAGGAAUAUUGGUCAAUGGACGAGAGUCUGAACCAGCCAAGUAGCGUGAAGGAUGAAGGCCCUAUGGGUCGUAAACUUCUUUUAUAGGGGAAUAAAGUGCGGAACGUGUUCCGCUUUGUAUGUACCCUACGAAUAAGGAUCGGCUAACUCCGUGCCAGCAGCCGCGGUAAUACGGAGGAUCCGAGCGUUAUCCGGAUUUAUUGGGUUUAAAGGGAGCGUAGAUGGAUGUUUAAGUCAGUUGUGAAAGUUUGCGGCUCAACCGUAAAAUUGCAGUUGAUACUGGAUAUCUUGAGUGCAGUUGAGGCAGGCGGAAUUCGUGGUGUAGCGGUGAAAUGCUUAGAUAUCACGAAGAACUCCGAUUG
rnacentral:rRNA from 1 species